UACGGAGGGUGCGAGCGUUAUCCGGAAUCACUGGGUUUAAAGGGUGCGUAGGCGGUCUGAUAAGUCAGUUGUGAAAUUCCUCGGCUUAACCGAGUGGACUGCGAUUGAUACUGUCAGACUUGAAUCAGGUUGAGGUAGGCGGAAUGUGACAUGUAGCGGUGAAAUGCUUAGAUAUGUCAUAGAACACCGAUUGCGAAGGCAGCUUGCUGGGCUUAGAUUGACGCUGAGGCACGAAAGCGUGGGGAUCAAACAGG
rnacentral:rRNA from 1 species